rnacentral:misc_RNA from 1 species
GAAAUGCGAUAAGUAAUGUGAAUGGCAGAAUUCAGUGAAUCAUCGAAUCUUUGAACGCACAUUGCGCCCGCCAGUAUUCUGGCGGGCAUGCCUGUUCGAGCGUCAUUACAACCCUCAGGCCCCCGGGCCUGGCGUUGGGGAUCGGCGGAAGCCCCCUGCGGGCACAACGCCGUCCCCCAAAUACAGUGGCGGUCCCGCCGCAGCUUCCAUUGCGUAGUAGCUAACACCUCGCAACUGGAGAGCGGCGCGGCCACGCCGUAAAACACCCAACUUCUGAAUGUUGACCUCGAAUCAGGUAGGAAUACCCGCUGAACUUAAGC